rnacentral:lncRNA from 1 species
ACAGUGGAAAGGAUAUUUUGAACAGAGGUUGCUUUUUUUGGACAAACAAUCUGCACAUUCACCACAAUCUGGCAGAAACAUUGGGAUCACAGUGUCUCCUUCAACAACUUCAUGUACACCUUCACCGAUACUCUCUACAACUCUUUUAAUGGAGAAAAUUUGAAUGAAUUUAUUUAAUUAGGAUGACAAUUCAACAGAUUUAACAUGAACAGUUUACUAAUUUUGAUGGAUUCUUACCCAAUUGCUUCAUGACCGAGUAUUCUGGGGAAAAUUGCAGGAGGACGCUUUAGGAGAAAACAACAAUCGUUAAUUAACUUCAACAAAAACACUAAUUUUGAUCUCAAACAACUAUCUACCUCCAAUUUCCAGUAGUUAAUAUCACUAU